rnacentral:rRNA from 1 species
UACGAAGGGGGCUAGCGUUGCUCGGAAUUACUGGGCGUAAAGGGCUCGUAGGCGGCCAACUAAGUCAGACGUGAAAUCCCUCGGCUUAACCGGGGAACUGCGUCUGAUACUGGAUGGCUUGAGUGUGGGAGAGGGAUGCGGAAUUCCAGGUGUAGCGGUGAAAUGCGUAGAUAUCUGGAGGAACACCGGUGGCGAAGGCGGCGUUCUGGACUGCAACUGACACUGAGGAACGAAAGCCAGGGGAGCAAACGGG